AACGAACGCUGGCGGCAGGCUUAACACAUGCAAGUCGAACGCCCCGCAAGGGGAGUGGCAGACGGGUGAGUAACGCGUGGGAAUCUACCCAUCUCUGCGGAAUAGCUCCGGGAAACUGGAAUUAAUACCGCAUACGCCCUACGGGGGAAAGAUUUAUCGGGGAUGGAUGAGCCCGCGUUGGAUUAGCUAGUUGGUGGGGUAAAGGCCUACCAAGGCGACGAUCCAUAGCUGGUCUGAGAGGAUGAUCAGCCACAUUGGGACUGAGACACGGCCCAAACUCCUACGGGAGGCAGCAGUGGGGAAUAUUGGACAAUGGGCGCAAGCCUGAUCCAGCCAUGCGGCGUGGGUGAUGAAGGCCUUAGGGUUGUAAAGCUCUUUCACCGGUGAAGAUAAUGACGGUAACCGGAGAAGAAGCCCCGGCUAACUUCGUGCCAGCAGCCGCCAUAA
rnacentral:rRNA from 1 species